AUUGAACGCUGGCGGCAGGCCUAACACAUGCAAGUCGAGCGAGCGGCGGACGGGUGAGUAAUGUAUGGGAAUCUGCCCGAUGGAGGGGGAUAACUACUGGAAACGGUAGCUAAUACCGCAUACCAUCGGAUGUGCCCAUAUGGGAUUAGCUAGUAGGUGGGGUAAUGGCUCACCUAGGCGACGAUCCCUAGCUGGUCUGAGAGGAUGAACAGCCACACUGGAACUGAGACACGGUCCAGACUCCUCCGGGAGGCAGCAGUGGGGAAUAUUGCACAAUGGGCGCAAGCCUGAUGCAGCCAUGCCGCGUGUGUGAAGAAGGCCUUAGGGUUGUAAAGCACUUUCAGUGGGGAGGCGUUACCGGCAGAAGAAGCACCGGCUAACUCCGUGCCAGCAGCCGCGGUAAUUC
rnacentral:rRNA from 1 species